ensembl:misc_RNA Metazoa_SRP Metazoan signal recognition particle RNA
GCCGGGCGUGGUGGCUCACGCCUGUAAUCCCAGCACUUUGGGAGGCUGAGACGGGUGGGUCACUUGAGGUCAGGAGUUCGAUAGCAGUCUGGCCAACAUGGUGAAAUGCCGUCUCUACUAAAAAUACAAAAAUUAGCCGGGUGUGGUGGCAUACGCCUGUAGUCCCAGUUACUCGGGAGGCUGAGGUGGGAGAAUUUCUUCAACCCAGGAGGCAGAAGUUGCAGUGAGCCAAGAUCGCGCCAUUGCACUCCAGCCUGGGCAACACAGCGAGACUCUGUCUUA